UGGCUCAGAUGGUAAAAGCGUCUGCCUACAAUGCAGGAGACCCAGGUUCGAUCCCUGG
rnacentral:tRNA from 1 species